rnacentral:rRNA from 1 species
CCCUUAGAUGUUCUGGGCUGCACGCGCGCUACACUGAUGCAUUCAACGAGUAUCGUGCCUUACUUGGAAAAGUUUGGUAAUCUGAGGAUAAUGUGCAUCGUGAUGGGAAUAGAGUUUUGCAACUAUUAGUCUUGAACGAGGAAUUCCUCGUAAGCAUGAGUCAUCAGCUUGUGCUGAUUACGUCCCUGCCCUUUGUACACACCGCCCGUCGCUACUACCGAUUGAAUGAUUUAGUGAGGACUUCGGACUGGGACCGAUGCGGCUUUCGGGCUGCGUCGGUAUUCUGGAAAGAUGUCCAAACUGUAUCAUUUAGAGGAAGUAAAAGUCGUAACA